rnacentral:rRNA from 1 species
GACAGAGGGUGCGAACGUUGCUCGGAAUUACUGGGCGUAAAGCGCGUGUAGGCGGGUGAUCAAGUCAGGUGUGAAAUCCCUGGGCUCAACCCAGGAACUGCACUUGAAACUGGUCGCCUUGAGUGUUGGAGAGGGAAGCGGAAUUCCUGGUGUAGAGGUGAAAUUCGUAGAUAUCAGGAGGAACACCGGUGGCGAAGGCGGCUUCCUGGACAAUUACUGACGCUGAGACGCGAAAGCGUGGGGAGCAAACAGG